rnacentral:rRNA from 1 species
UACGUAGGGUGCAAGCGUUAAUCGGAAUUACUGGGCGUAAAGCGUACCGAUAGGUGGUUUUACAAGUCAGGAGUGAAAUCUCAAGGCUCAACUUUGAGACUGUCUCUUGAAACUGUACAACUAGAGGGGCAAAGAGGAAGCUGGAACGAACGGUGUAGUAGUGAAAUGCGUUGAUAUCGUUCGGAACACCGAUAGCGAAGGCAGGCUUCUGGGUGCCACCUGACACUGCUAGGACGAAAGCGUGGGGAGCGAAUGGG